AUUUAGUAUGCGUACUUGCUGUAAAUAUGGACAAACAGAAAACCAUGCAGUCUUUAGGUGGGUAUUCUGUGAGUUUUUGAUUGCCCAUAAAGGACCUGCAAACAUCU